rnacentral:rRNA from 1 species
UACAGAGGGUGCAAGCGUUGUUCGGAAUUACUGGGCGUAAAGGGCGCGUAGGCGGUUUGGUAAGUCAGAUGUGAAAGCCCGGGGCUCAACCCCGGAAGUGCAUUUGAAACUACCAAGCUAGAGUGCAGUAGAGAAUGGCGGAAUUCCCAGUGGAGAGGUGAAAUUCGUAGAUAUUGGGAGGAACACCGGUGGCGAAGGCGGCCAUUUGGGCUGUAACUGACGCUGAGGCGCGAGAGCGUGGGUAGCAAACAGG